CAGCAGUACUUUUCGGAGUAGCUGGCGACCGGCGCACGGGUGCGUAACGCGUAUGCAAUCUACCCACAGCAGAGGGAUAGCCCGUGGAAACAUGGAUUAAUACCUCAUAACACAGGGAGCCCACCUGGGCAUAUUGUUAAAGCUACGGCGGCAGUGGAUGAGCAUGCGUCCCAUUAGUUAGUUGGUACGGUAACGGCGUACCAAGACGAUGAUGGGUAGGGGUUCUGAGAGGAUGAUCCCCCACACUGGUACUGAGAUACGGACCAGACUCCUACGGGAGGCAGCAGUAGGGAAUAUUGGUCAAUGGACGGAAGUCUGAACCAGCCAUGCCGCGUGCAGGAAGACGGCCUUCUGGGUUGUAAACUGCUUUUCUCAGGGAAGAAAAGGGCCUUGCGAGGCAAAUUGCCGGUACCUGAGGAAUAAGCACCGGCUAACUCCGUGCCAGCAGCCGCGGUAAUACGGAGGGUGCGAGCGUUGUCCGGAUUUAUUGGGUUUAAAGGGUGCGUAGGCGGCCUAUUAAGUCAGUGGUGAAAGGUAUCAGCUUAACUGAUGACGUGCCAUUGAAACUGAUAGGCUUGAGUACAGACGAGGUAGGCGGAAUUUAUGGUGUAGCGGUGAAAUGCAUAGAUACCAUAAAGAACACCGAUAGCGAAGGCAGCUUACUAGACUGAGACUGACGCUGAGGCACGAAAGCGUGGGGAGCGAACAGGAUUAGAUACCCUGGUAGUCCACGCUGUAAACGAUGAUUACUGGAUGUGUGCGAUAGACAGCACGCGUCUGAGCGAAAGCGUUAAGUAAUCCACCUGGGGAGUACGAUCGCAAGAUUGAAACUCAAAGGA
rnacentral:rRNA from 1 species